AAAAAAUCGUUACAGCUAGUAGCUUAAGAAAAAGUAUUUUUUCUGGGUAAAAAAAAAAAAUGGAGAAUAUAUAUUUUCUUUUUUCUUUUUUUUAAGAUAAGUUUACUAUUUUACUAAAAUUUAUGUUAAAUAAAAAUUGAGUAAAAAAUUUGAUGGUCAACAUAAAUAUAUAUAUAUUUUUAAAUAUAUUGCAUUAUACAACAUUAUAUUUAAACUUAUUAAUUUUUUUACUUUUAUUUUUAAGUGAAUAAUUAUUUCGAUUAAAAAAAUAAAUUUACACAUGGGCAUUUAUAUAUAUAUAUAUAUAUAUAUAUAUAUGUGUAUUUUUUUUUUUUUUUUUUUAACACUAAAAAAAAAAAAAAGAAAAAUUAAGACUAAUUCUUAUUUAUAUAAAGGGUGGUAACUUACAUUUUGUUCAAUUUUAUUAUUUAUAAAAUAAAUCGUACAUAAACAAUACAUAUGAUGCAUAUAUGACUAUAGCGUCCAUGUAAACCUUACAUAUAUAUAUACAUAUAUGUACAUAUAUGUGUAUAUAAUAUUGAAGCACAUUUUUUAAAAACUUAUUAUAAUAUUUAUAUAUCUUUAUUCAACAUGCCUGAUAGCAUAAACAGUGAAGAAAAAUUAGAAAACGAAAUUAGGGUAUCUUAUAAAAUUGAGACCCUAUAUUAUGUCCAUAAAGCUGCUCUGUUGCUGUUAAAUCACGAUGAAAUAAUAUUAUCGGGUGUUGGCAAGGCUAUUACUUCAGUUGUUCAGGUUGCUGAAAUGCUUAAAAGAAGAGCAAAGGGGUUGCAUCAGUUUACGAAACUAUACGAAAAGGAACAUACUAUUAAAAGAGAAGACACUAGCGGUUUAAAACGUAAUUCAAAAAGAGAAGAUAACGUGUCGAAUAAUAGAGAGGCAAAUGAUAAGGAUGAGGAAUCGUAUAAGAGAAUUAUAGAAUACACUACUGUUGUACCAUGUAUAAAAAUAACUUUAACGAAAAAUGAAAAAAAAAUUAAGAAAGAUAUGGUAGGUUAUCAAAAACCACUAGAUGAUAAGCAUGUAAAUCCAUUGACACCUGAUGAAAUAUUAAAGGAAAGGGAUAGUCAAAAAUGUAAGAUAUAUAUAUAUAUAUUUUAUUUUAUUUUUUUUACGUACACGCACAUUUUUAUGUAUAUACGAUUUUUAAUUAUAUAUGUAGUGCAUAUUACCAUUUUAUGUAUACAAUUUUAUGUUUAUACUUUUAUAUAUGCUUCUAUUUUUACUCUUAUCCAUUUGGGAUUAAUAGACCGAAGAGGAAAAGGUAAUGAUAGGUACAGAACAUCAUAUAGAAGAAAUUAUUAUGAUAAUUUCUCGUGGAAUAAUAGAAGAUAUUAAAGAAGAAAUUAACAUUAUAAAAAAAAAAAAAAAAAAAUUAUAAUAUGAAUUAUU
rnacentral:lncRNA from 1 species